rnacentral:rRNA from 1 species
CUGGAGUCUGNAACCCGACUCCACGAAGUUGGAUUCGCUAGUAAUCGCGCAUCAGCCAUGGCGCGGUGAAUACGUUCCCGGGCCUUGUACACACCGCCCGUCAAGCCAUGGGAGCCGGGGGCGCCUGAAGCCGGUGACCCAACCCGAAAGGGAGGGAGCCGUCGAAGGCAGGUCGGAUGACUGGGGUGAAGUCGUAACAAGGUAAC